rnacentral:rRNA from 1 species
GACGAACGCUGGCGGCGUGCUUAACACAUGCAAGUCGAGCGAGGAGCUUGCUCCUAGCGGCGAACGGGUGAGUAACACGUGGGCAACCUGCCCUUGGCUCUGGGAUAACUCCGGGAAACCGGGGCUAAUACCGGAUACGACCACUGAUGACAUCUUCUGGUGGUGGAAAGAAUUUCGGCCAAGGAUGGGCCCGCGGCCUAUCAGCUUGUUGGUGGGGUAAUGGCCUACCAAGGCGACGACGGGUAGCCGGCCUGAGAGGGCGACCGGCCACACUGGGACUGAGACACGGCCCAGACUCCUACGGGAGGCAGCAGUGGGGAAUAUUGCGCAAUGGGCGAAAGCCUGACGCAGCGACGCCGCGUGAGGGAUGAAUGCCUUCGGGUUGU